rnacentral:rRNA from 1 species
UACGGGGGGAGCAAGCGUUGUUCGGAUUUACUGGGCGUAAAGGGCGGGUAGGCGGCCACCGCAAGUCAGUUGUGAAAUCUCCGGGCUUAACCCGGAAAGGUCAACUGAUACUGCGGGGCUAGAGUGCAGAAAGGGCAACUGGAAUUCUCGGUGUAGCGGUGAAAUGCGUAGAUAUCGAGAGGAACACCUGCGGCGAAGGCGGGUUGCUGGGCUGACACUGACGCUGAACUGCGAAAGCUAGGGGAGCGAACGGG